AGACACCACAGUCUACACAAGGUGGCCAUGGCCCAUUAUCCAAGGUCAAACCCAUCAAUAAGCAUUGGUUGCACAUGACAAUCAACCUCUCCAAUUCUUCGUACCUGGUAACUUCCUGAACAAGCACCAGGGAUUACCUCCAAUUCUACAUUCCUAACAUGGAAUUAUUGCUUGCCAUUGUACGCAGCAGCUACAUGCAAUAUAAAUAAAUUAUAUUUCUCACUCAGAUGGUAUUGUUGUUAACAAUGGCAUUUGGAUUUUGGUCUAUUUCUAUUUUAAGGAAUUUG
rnacentral:misc_RNA from 1 species